GACGAACGCUGGCGGCGUGCCUAACACAUGCAAGUCGAACGGAGUUUAAUAACGGAAGCCUUCGGGCGGAAGAUAUUAAACUUAGUGGCGGACGGGUGAGUAACGCGUGAGCAACCUGCCUCUCAGAGGGGGAUAACGUUUGGAAACGAACGCUAAUACCGCAUAACAUAUCUUUACCGCAUGAUAGAGAUAUCAAAGGAGCAAAUCCGCUGAGAGAUGGGCUCGCGUCCGAUUAGAUAGUUGGUGGGGUAACGGCCCACCAAGGCGACGAUCAGUAGCCGGUCUGAGAGGAUGAACGGCCACAUUGGGACUGAGAUACGGCCCAG
rnacentral:rRNA from 1 species